GGAUGUGAGGGCCAGCUGGCUGCGACAUCCGUCACCAGUCACCCCUCUGAUCGCCAGGGGUGAUUCGGCUGCUCUGGCUGGCUGGGCGGGUGUCCCCUUCCUCCCGCCACGUGCGUCCCUCCCCAAACUGCGCUCUCGGGUCGAAGAGGACGGCCUUCCCGGAACAGAGGAGGACCGGUCUUGAGUCAAGGGUAUACGGAGUAGCUGCGCUCCCCUGCUGGCACCUCCAAACAAGCUCUCGGAAGGAAUGAAAGAGGGCUGGAGAGAUGGCUGAGCGGUUAAGCGCUUGCCUGUGAAUCCUAAGGACCCCAGUUCCAGGCUCGAUUCCCCAG
rnacentral:snRNA from 1 species